rnacentral:rRNA from 1 species
GAUUUCUGGAUGACUGUGCUAGCCCGUUGGCUUUCGGGUUGAUGAGCGCCGGUACGAGUCAUUCAUCUUUGUAGGGAGCCUGGUCUGCCCUUUUUUGGGUGGGUCUGUGCGAACUACAUCAUUUACUUUGAAAAAAUUAGAGUGUUUAAAGCAGGCUUACGCUAUGAAUACAUUAGCAUGGAAUAAUAAUUUAGGACUUUGGUUCUAUUUUGUUGGUUUCUAGGACUGAAGUAAUGAUUGAUAGGGAUAGUUGGGGGUGCUAGUAUUCCGCGGCCAGAGGUGAAAUUCUUGGAUUCGUGGAAGACUAACUACUGCGAAAGCAUU